UACAGAGGGUGCAAGCGUUAAUCGGAAUUACUGGGCGUAAAGCGUGCGUAGUCGGUUAUCUAAGUCGGGUGUGAAAUCCCCGGGCUCAACCUGGGAAUUGCAUUCGAUACUGGAUAGCUAGAGUUCGGUAGGGGAGACUGGAAUUCCUGGUGUAGCGGUGAAAUGCGCAGAUAUCAGGAGGAACACCGGUGGCGAAGGCGGGUCUCUGGGCCGACACUGACGCUGAGGAGCGAAAGCGUGGGGAGCGAACAGG
rnacentral:rRNA from 1 species